rnacentral:rRNA from 1 species
GAUCCUGGCUCAGGAUGAACGCUAGCUACAGGCUUAACACAUGCAAGUCGAGGGGAAACGACAUCGAAAGCUUGCUUUUGAUGGGCGUCGACCGGCGCACGGGUGAGUAACGCGUAUCCAACCUACCCAUUACUGUGGGAUAACCUGCCGAAAGGCAGACUAAUACCGCAUAGUCUUCGAUGACGGCAUCAGAUUUGAAGUAAAGAUUUAUCGGUAAUGGAUGGGGAUGCGU